rnacentral:rRNA from 1 species
UAGGGAAUCUUCGGCAAUGGACGAAAGUCUGACCGAGCAACGCCGCGUGAGUGAAGAAGGUUUUCGGAUCGUAAAACUCUGUUGUUAGAGAAGAACAAGGACGUUAGUAACUGAACGUCCCCUGACGGUAUCUAACCAGAAAGCCACGGCUAACUACGUGCCAGCAGCCGCGGUAAUACGUAGGUGGCAAGCGUUGUCCGGAUUUAUUGGGCGUAAAGCGAGCGCAGGCGGUUUCUUAAGUCUGAUGUGAAAGCCCCCGGCUCAACCGGGGAGGGUCAUUGGAAAAUGGGAGACUUGAGUGCAGAAGAGGAGAGUGGAAUUCCAUGUGUAGCGGUGAAAUGCGUAGAUAUAUGGAGGAACACCAGUGGCGAAGGCGGCUCUAUGGUCUGUAACUGACGCUGAGGCUCGAAAGCGUGGGGAGCAAACAGG